rnacentral:tRNA from 1 species
GGGUCUGUGAGCUUAGUUCGGCAUAGCGGCGGACUCUUAAUCCGCAGGUCAAGGGUUCAAAUCCCUUCAGGCCCG